rnacentral:lncRNA from 1 species
CUCUGUGGCGUCCCCGCCCCUCCUACCGUCUUGCCUCUGGCGUCUUGCGUAAUGACGUCACCACUUGCCCCGCUCAGAAGCCUGGGAGUCCUCUGGCCUCCUUCUUUCUCGCUGCCCCCCACACCCCCACUCCCCCUCCACCCCCCCGCCUUGGCAGUCGGCCGUUCCAGCCUCCAUGCCCUCCCCUGGAUUCCCCCUCCCACCCCCUGGUUACGACCUGGGCCAUCUUUAACUGGAUGACUGUGCUGUCCCACCCAUCCUUGGGUCUCCCGGCUAGGAUAUGUCCAAUCCAACCCACCCGCUGCGCUGGCUCCUGAGAGCUCUCAUAAAAUCAAACUCUGCUCAUGCAGCGUCCACCUAAAGGCCCCCAGUAGCUGCCAUUUCCUCGGACCCAAACUCUUCACAGCUGCAGCCAAACUUCCAGAAGCACCUGACUCGCUCGCACAGAUCCUUCCGUCUGGCCAAACCGGAAGUUGUUUUUUCUCCCCUAGGCCAGAGCCUCUGAGUCCCUUGGGCCUUGGCUCCAGCUGUGCGCUCCCCGCCCUGCCUAGACUAUCCAGUGCCCGCCUGGUGCUCUGCAUCCAGAAGGCCCUGGGUGGUGAGCUGCCCUGCUCCCCCUGCACCCAGGCCGGGGCUGGAUUUUGGACUCAGCACUUGGGUUCCAUCAGACACCUAAUUAUCCAACAUAUUAAAUCAAAUAAGGAUGAAUGUACUCAGUUUGAGUUCUUCUUCCAAAAGGAAAACUCUACCAGGAAUUGGUCCAGAGAAUCUUGGAAUAUUCUUUUGCUUCUCUUAACCGCCAAAGAGCCACUUCGUGACUUCUUUCUCCUUCUCCUCCUCCUCCUCUGCUUCUGCUUUGAGAGGAUUCAUUUCUCUGGCUCUGUUUCCACUCUCUACAGCUCCAUCAACCUUCCUCUCUGAUGAGCCAAGCCUUGGAUCCGGUUCCCAGGCACCGCUGAGGACGAUGAAGUUUAUGAAAAAACCAGCAGGCAGCGUGUCAUUUGCAGUUUCACCACUUGGUGGCGCCAUUGCCCCACUUUCCAUUUUCGGGCAGUCACGCGUCCGGAGAGUUCCUACUGUCUUUUGCUAACGGUUUAGAAUUUGUUGAUGUUCUAAUGUUUUUCAUCCUUUGUUUCAACUCUGAUUCAGAUAAACGGUGACGCAUCGGCACGCCUGGAAAGGGGUUGCAUUUUGUCGCACGCUCGCCACGGGUUGGGGGGAAUACAUCCUGGACUGAGUUAGAGAAGAUGGUCCCAAAGCGUGGACAAAGAUUGGGGCUGGUGACAGUCAAGCUCGGAGAGGCUGACCCAUAGCCCAGAGUCACGGGGAGUCAUUUUUCUGCCUUCCCCCUCGGCCCUAAUGCGGAGAUUUCAUAUCCGCUGUAAACACCUAGUAUUUGCCGAUAACCUCCUGUGCGCCGGGCUCUUUACAUGUCGCCUCAUUUAAUCCUCGCACUAAUCCUGUAUUUUGCGUCUCUCUCGGGAGGGAACGGGGCAGGCCUGAGGAAAAUGAGACCGAGAUCUCGCCAAAUCCCGUGUGCUUUCUGUACACAACACGGUCUCUGCUCAUUCACUGGUCAAACAUUGAUAAUAAAACAGAUUUGCAAGCGAUUCUGUUUUGGACC